rnacentral:rRNA from 1 species
GUGGACCCACCUGAAUCCAUGCCGAACUCAGAAGUGAAACGCCGUAGCGCCGAUGGUAGUGUGGGGUCUCCCCAUGCGAGAGUAGGACACUGCCAGGC